rnacentral:rRNA from 1 species
GGGAAACUGAGGAUAAUACCCCAUAGGUCUAGGAUGCUGGAAUGCACUUAGGCUCAAAGUUACGGCGCUUCAGGAUGGGUCUGCGGCCUAUCAGGUUGUAGUGAGUGUAAAGUACUCACUAGCCGACGACGGGUACGGGCCAUGGGAGUGGUAGCCCGGAGAUGGAUUCUGAGACACGAAUCCAGGCCCUACGGGGCGCAGCAGGCGCGAAAACUUCGCAAUGCGCGCAAGCGCGACGAGGGGAUUCCAAGUGCAUGCACUUAGUGCAUGCUGUUUGCUAGUCUAAAAAGCUAGUAGAGUAAGGGCUGGGUAAGACUGGUGCCAGCCGCCGCGGUAAUACCAGCGGCCCGAGUGGUGAUCGUUAUUAUUGGGCCUAAAGCGUCCGUAGCCGGCCCGGUAAAUCUCUGGGUAAAUCGUUGGGCUCAACCCAACGAAUUCUGGGGAGACUGCCGGGCUUUGGACCGGGAGAGGUCGGAGGUCCUCCAGGGGUAGGGGUGAAAUCCUGUAAUCCCUUGGGGGGACCACCGGUGGCGAAGGCGUCCCGACCAGAACGGGUCCGACGGUAAGGGACGAAGCCCUGGGGCGCGAACGGGAUUAGAUACCCCGGUAGUCCAGGGUGUAAACGCUGUGCGCUUGGUGUUGGGGGUCCUCCGUGGGCACCCAGUGCCGGAGAGAAGUUGUUAAACGCACCGCCUGGGGAGUACGGUCGCAAGACUGAAACUUAA